rnacentral:rRNA from 1 species
GAUGAACGCUGGCGGCGUGCCUAAUACAUGCAAGUCGAGCGAACAGACGAGGAGCUUGCUCCUCUGACGUUAGCGGCGGACGGGUGAGUAACACGUGGAUAACCUACCUAUAAGACUGGGAUAACUUCGGGAAACCGGAGCUAAUACCGGAUAAUAUAUUGAACCGCAUGGUUCAAUAGUGAAAGACGGUUUUGCUGUCACUUAUAGAUGGAUCCGCGCCGCAUUAGCUAGUUGGUAAGGUAACGGCUUACCAAGGCAACGAUGCGUAGCCGACCUGAGAGGGUGAUCGGCCACACUGGACCUGAGACACGGUCCAGACUCCUACGGGAGGCAGCAGUAGGGAAUCUUCCGCAAUGGGCGAAAGCCUGACGGAGCAACGCCGCGUGAGUGAUGAAGGUCUUCGGAUCGUAAAACUCUGUUAUUAGGGAAGAACAAAUGUGUAAGUAACUAUGCACGUCUGGACGGUACCUAAUCAGAAAGCCACGGCUAACUACGU